rfam:TPA: Bos taurus chromosome 14, whole genome shotgun sequence.
UCCCCAGUGGCUCAGAUGGUAAAGAAUCUGCCUGCAAUGCAGGAGAUGCAGGUUUGAUCCCUGCAUCGGGAA